rnacentral:rRNA from 1 species
UACGAAGGGGGCGAGCGUUGUUCGGAUUUACUGGGCGUAAAGGGCGCGUAGGCGGCCUUGUCAGUCAGGCGUGAAAGCCCCGGGCUCAACCUGGGAACGGCGCUUGGGACGGCGAGGCUGGAGUUCGGGAGAGGAGAGUGGAAUUCCCAGUGUAGAGGUGAAAUUCGUAGAUAUUGGGAAGAACACCGGUGGCGAAGGCGGCUCUCUGGACCGACACUGACGCUGAUGCGCGAAAGCGUGGGUAGCAAACAGG